rnacentral:rRNA from 1 species
UACGAAGGGGGCGAGCGUUGUUCGGAAUUAUUGGGCGUAAAGAGCUUGUAGGCGGUUUGUCGCGUCUGCUGUGAAAAUCCGGGGCUCAACCCCGGACUUGCAGUGGGUACGGGCAGACUAGAGUGUGGUAGGGGAGACUGGAAUUCCUGGUGUAGCGGUGAAAUGCGCAGAUAUCAGGAGGAACACCGAUGGCGAAGGCAGGUCUCUGGGCCACUACUGACGCUGAGAAGCGAAAGCAUGGGGAGCGAACAGG